rnacentral:rRNA from 1 species
CCACCCUUUAAUGUUUGAUGUUCUAACGUUGACCCGUAAUCCGGGUUGCGGACAGUGUCUGGUGGGUAGUUUGACUGGGGCGGUCUCCUCCUAAAGAGUAACGGAGGAGCACGAAGGUUGGCUAAUCCUGGUCGGACAUCAGGAGGUUAGUGCAAUGGCAUAAGCCAGCUUGACUGCGAGCGUGACGGCGCGAGCAGGUGCGAAAGCAGGUCAUAGUGAUCCGGUGGUUCUGAAUGGAAGGGCCAUCGCUCAACGGAUAAAAGGUACUCCGGGGAUAACAGGCUGAUACCGCCCAAGAGUUCAUAUCGACGGCGGUGUUUGGCACCUCGAUGUCGGCUCAUCACAUCCUGGGGCUGAAGUAGGUCCCAAGGGUAUGGCUGUUCGCCAUUUAAAGUGGUACGCGAGCUGGGUUUAGAACGUCGUGAGACAGUUCGGUCCCUAUCUGCCGUGGGCGCUGGAGAACUGAGGGGGGCUGCUCCUAGUACGAGAGGACCGGAGUGGACGCAUCACUGGUGUUCGGGUUGUCAUGCCAAUGGCACUGCCCGGUAGCUAAAUGCGGAAGAGAUAAGUGCUGAAAGCAUCUAAGCACGAAACUUGCC